AUUUUUGAUACCUUAAUUUUGUGGGUGUUAUAUUUACCCACAAAAUUAUGGUAUCAAAAAU
rnacentral:pre_miRNA from 1 species